rnacentral:rRNA from 1 species
UACGUAGGGCGCAAGCGUUGUCCGGAAUCAUUGGGCGUAAAGAGCUCGUAGGCGGCCUGUUGCGUCCGCUGUGAAAUCCCGGGGCUCAACCCCGGGCCUGCAGUGGAUACGGGCUGGCUAGAGGCAGGCAGGGGAGAACGGAAUUCCUGGUGUAGCGGUGAAAUGCGCAGAUAUCAGGAGGAACACCGGUGGCGAAGGCGGUUCUCUGGGCCUGUACUGACGCUGAGGAGCGAAAGCGUGGGGAGCGAACAGG